rnacentral:misc_RNA from 1 species
AUACCAAUCUAGCCUGGCUAGGUGUUGGGCUUCGCCGUCUGGCGGGCCUUAAAACCAGUGGCGGUGCUCUUAGGCUCUACGCGUAGUAAUUUUCUCGCUAUAGGGUCCUGGGAGAUGCUGGCCAGCAACCCCAAAUUUUUCUA